rnacentral:rRNA from 1 species
UAAACGACUCUCGGCAAUGGAUAUCUCAACUCUCACAUCAAUAAAGAAUGUAGCGAAAUGCAAUACCUGGUGUGAAUUGCAGAAUCUCGUGAACCAUCGAGUCUUUGAUCGCAAGUUGGGCCCGAAGCCAUUAGACAUAAGGCACGUCUGCCUGGGAUUCACGC